GUUUUGGCGUUUAAUAUUGGACACGUUUUGGCGAAUAACAAUUACCGGACACGUUUGGGGGUUAUGAAAUCGGACACGUUUGGGGAAUAUUAUACAUUUCGGACACGUUUAGGGAGAAAAGACACGUUUGGGGGAAUCGGACACGUUUGGGGGGAAGGACACGUUUGGGAGUGUUACAUAUAUACUAGUAGUAACAAGGAUAUCGUUUCUAGAGGGGCUUUAUAGUUUGUUGUUCAUGCAGUGUAAGCUAAUGCUCCGUGUUGAAAACCGUACUUUGGUCUAUGAUGGUUUACUUUUAGGAAUAAUGACUUAGA
rnacentral:lncRNA from 1 species